rnacentral:rRNA from 1 species
GACGAACGCUGGCGGCGUGCCUAAUACAUGCAAGUUGAGCGCUGAAGGUUGGUACUUGUACCAACUGGAUGAGCAGCGAACGGGUGAGUAACGCGUGGGGAAUCUGCCUUUGAGCGGGGGACAACAUUUGGAAACGAAUGCUAAUACCGCAUAAAAACUUUAAACACAAGUUUUAAGUUUGAAAGAUGCAAUUGCAUCACUCAAAGAUGAUCCCGCGUUGUAUUAGCUAGUUGGUGAGGUAAAGGCUCACCAAGGCGAGGAUACAUAGCCGACCGGAGAGGGGGAUAGGCCACAUGGGGACGGGGACACGGCCCAAACGCCUGCGAGAGGCAGCAGUAGGGAAUCGUCGGCAAUGGACGAAAGUCUGACCGAGCAACGCCGCGUGAGUGAAGAAGGUUUUCGGAGCGGAAAACUCGGUUGGUAGAGAAGAACGGUGGUGGGAGUGGAAAGCGCAUCAAGUGACGGUAACUACCCAGAAAGGGACGGCUAACUACGUG